GAAAGCCGUGUGCGGGGAAACUCGCAAGCACGGUUUGGGGAGGGACGGCAGGAAAAGGUCCGCAAGGAACCUCGCUUACCGUCUACUCUAC
rfam:Ktedonobacter racemifer DSM 44963 strain SOSP1-21 Krac_Contig206, whole genome shotgun sequence.